AUGCAGUCGAACGAUUCCGAUUUAUCGGAAUAGUGGCGAACGGGUGAGUAACACGUAAGUAACCUGCCCCUAAGUAGGGGAUAACUCUGAGAAAUUGGAGCUAAUACUGUAUGUGGUGGUGGGGGUAAGGCUCCAUCACUAAAGCCUACGGGUGCUUGGGGAGGGGCUUGCGUCCGAUUAGCUAGUUGGUAAGGUAAUGGCCUACCAAGGCAACGAUCGGUAGCUGGUUUAAGAGGACGGUCAGCCACACUGGGACUGAGACACGGCCCAGACUCCUACGGGAGGCAGCAGCAAGGAAUAUUGUGCAAUGGGCGAAAGCCUGACACAGCGACACCGCGUGGGGGAUGAAGGCCUUCGGGUCGUAAACCCCUUUUCCCAGAGAAGAAAAAUGACGGUACCUGGGGAAUAAGUCUUGGCUAACUACGUGCCAGCAGCCGCGGUAAGACGUAGAAGGCAAGCGUUAUCCGGAUUUAUUGGGCGUAAAGAGGGUGUAGGCGGCUCUUCAAGUCGGAUGUAAAAUCUCCCGGCUUAACCGGGAGGGAUCAUUCGAUACUGUUGGGCUAGAGUGCAGCAGGGGGAGACGGAAUUCCCGGUGGAGUGGUGAAAUGCGUAGAUAUCGGGAGGAACACCAGUGGCGAAGGCGGUCUUCUGGGCUGUUACUGACGCUGAGACCCGAAGGCGUGGGGAGCGAACAGGAUUAGAUACCCUGGUAGUCCACGCAGUAAACGAUGGACACUAGGUAUAGGGAGUAUCGACCCUCUCUGUGCCGAAGUU
rnacentral:rRNA from 1 species